ensembl:lncRNA
CAUAUACAUUUUUACUUAAUUCUUAGUCAUGUGCAUUUCUUUAAUAUGUGCCCUUAUGUGUGUGUAUUUGUUGUGAGAGAGUGUUUGAGAGAGAGAGAGUGCAUGACAGAGAGAGACAGAUAUUUUUCAGAUACAUAUACAUUUUUACUUAAUUCUUAGUCAUGUGCAUUUCUUUAAUAUGUGCCCUUAUGUGUGUGUCUUUGUUGUGAGAGUGAGAGAGAGUGAGAGUGAGAGUGAGAGUGAGAGUGAGAGUGAGAGAGAGAGAGAGAGAGAGAGAGAGAGAGAGAGAGAGAGAGAGAGAGAGAGAGUGCAUGACAGAGAGAGGCAAACAUUUUUCAGAUGCAUCACAGACAUUUUGACUUAAUGUGUCAUUAGCUGUGUGGUGAUUUGGGAGAAUCCUGUGUGUCCAGCUCUCCGCUCACUUGCUGCUCAUUGGGCACAUCUGAGAGUAUCCUGGGGGUUCACCCUCAACAUCUGACAGUAUCCUGGGGGUUCACCCUCAACAUCUGAGAGUAUCCUGGGGGUUCACCCUCAACAUCUGAGAGUAUCCUGGGGGUUCACCCUCAACAUCUGAGAGUAUCCUGGGGGUUUACCCUCAACAUCUGACAUGGCAGGCUGCCGGCUGUGGAGCUGAUGCAUGAUCAUGGCUGCCAGGAUAAUCCCAGUGAACUGAAAAGGAUUUCCAAAAGAAGUUACAUCCAUGAAACAAAAUUGCAAAAUGUUCAUGUUCAUUAUUGUAGUCUUUAUACUGAUGUACUGUUGAAGCAGGGAGUUUCACCUCCCACCAUGCUCUCUCUAAGAAUCUUUAAUAGUUUGAAUGUGUUGCUGUGACAAUAAUAUCGUUUUUCUUACCCAUAAGGCAGCAAGGCUAAAGCUGACAGCCAAUCCAGCAUCGAGACUCCAAGCAUAAUUUGGGCCGUUGGGCCUCAACUGGCUCAACUGGCUCCACUGUCAUUCAGAGAUAAUAAAACAAAAAUAAUAAUUUAAACAGAAAAAUGCAUAUGGUUUAAAGACGAAUCUGGUAAAAUGACAUGAAACAAGUUAGGAAGCUAAAUACUUCAGAUGAAUAUUCUUUUCAUAUUGCACUAUUUCUUGAUACUAAGUUUGCUGUAAAAACACUGCAGGCUUAAGGCCAAAUAUAGUGUUAGGAUCAUUUGUUAUUUCUAAUUUAAAACAUACAAAUUAUCUCUGUACUUCCGUCAAUCCAAUCAUUUGUACCAUAGCAUAUUAUUGUGUACCAUUAAACGUUUUGACAUAAGUCAUGUACUCAUAUCAGUUCUUGGACAAUAUUUAUAUCAUAGUGAAUAAUAGUACAGUAGGUCCAUUUAAUGUGCUUCUGUAUGCAUGAG